AGCCUGGGUGACAGAACGAGACUCCGUUUCAAAAAAAAAAAAAGACUUACAUGGAGAAAGCCUGAAAUCCCACAAGAGCAAUUAGCAAAAGGAACCCUGAAAUAACAA